rnacentral:rRNA from 1 species
CAGUAGCCGCGGGAAUACGAGGGGGGCAAGCGUUGUUCGGAAUUAUUGGGCGUAAAGGGCGCGUAGGCGGUUUGGCAAGUUUGGUGUGAAAUCUUCGGGCUCAACUCGAAGUCUGCACCGAAAACUGCCGGGCUUGAGUAUGGGAGAGGUGAGUGGAAUUUCCGGUGUAGCGGUGAAAUGCGUAGAUAUCGGAAGGAACACCUGUGGCGAAAGCGGCUCACUGGACCAUUACUGACGCUGAGGCGCGAAAGCUAGGGGAGCAAACAGGAUUAGAUACCCCCGUAGUCCCUGUCUCUUAUAA